rnacentral:ribozyme from 1 species
GUUUAGUGUAUAACUUACCUUUACGCGGUAUUAAACAUAAGUAGGUCGUUUGUGGCUGAAACCAAAAAGUUA